rnacentral:rRNA from 1 species
UAGAGACUCAGAGCUGCAUAUCAAUAAGCGGAGGAAAAGAAACUAACAAGGAUUCCCUUAGUAACAGCGAGUGAAGCGGGAAGAGCUCAAAUUUGAAAUCUUCAAGGUUCUGCCUUGACGAAUUGUAGUUUAAAGAAGUGUUUUCUGUUGGAGUUUUGGUAAAAGUUCUUUGGAAUAGGACAUCAUAGAGGGUGAGAAUCCCGUAUUUGACCAUUUCUUCCAGCUGUGUGAUACACUUUCAAAGAGUCGGAUUGUCUGGGAAUGCAGUCCAAAAUGGGUGGUAAAUUUCAUCUAAAGCUAAAUAUUGGCGAGAGACCGAUAGCGAACAAGUACCGUGAGGGAAAGAUGAAAAGAACUUUGAAAAGAGAGUUAAACAGUACGUGAAAUUGUCAAAAGGGAAGCGUUUGACACCAGUGUUGUUUUUCCGAAAAUCAAUUACGAAUGUUUUGUUUUUGAGAAGUUAUGACUUCAUCGGUUUGCUUCUCUCUUUACGAAACUUUCUUAAUGCACUUUUCGGUUAACAAGUCAACAUCAAUUUCUUUUGUUGUAAAAGGGUAUGAGGAAGGUGGCUUUCUUUUCGGAGAAAGUGUUUAUAGCCUUGUACCUCUGCAAUCGGAGAGAUUGAGGUCUGCAGCGUAGAUCCUUCGGGGUUAGAUACAUUUGUGCUAAGUUAUAGCUUUUCAUAGACAACUUGUUGACUAUGUUUAGUCUUGUAGCUUACUCGCUUAUGCUAUUUUACCUACGCUUAGGAUGUUGAUAGUCACAGCGUGUAC